rnacentral:rRNA from 1 species
AUUGAACGCUGGCGGCAGGCUUAACACAUGCAAGUCGAGCGAGCGGCGGACGGGUGAGUAAUGUCUGGGAAACUGCCUGAUGGAGGGGGAUAACCACUGGAAACGGUAGCCAAUACCGCAUACCAUCAGAUGUGCCCAGAUGGGAGUAGCUAGUAGGGGGGGUAAUGGCUCACCUAGGCGACGAUCCCUAGCUGGUCUGAGAGGAUGACCAGCCACACGGGAACUGAGACACGGCCCAGACUCCUACGGGAGGCAGCAGUGGGGAAUAUUGCACAAUGGGCGCAAGCCGGAUGCAGCCAUGCCGCGUGUGUGAAGAAGGCCUUCGGGUUGUAAAGCACGUUCAGCGGGGAGGCGUUACUCGCAGAAGAAGCACCGGCUAACUCCGUGCCAGCAGCCGCGGUAAUAC